UCGGAGCCUUCGUCCUGCCACAGCUUGGCG
rnacentral:piRNA from 1 species